GGCUCGAAGGACGAACGCUGGCGGCGUGCCUAAUACAUGCAAGUCGAACGGUCUUUCUAUGGAAGCUUGCUUCCGCUGAGAAGAGUAGUGGCGAACGGGUGGAGUAACACGUGGGUAACCUGCCCAUAAGAGGGGGGAUAACAUCCGGAAACGGGUGCUAAUACCGCAUAGUUUCUUGAUCGCAUGAUCGGGAAAGGAAAGACGGCCUUUGUGCUGUCGCUUAUGGAUGGACCCGCGGCGUAUUAGUUAGUUGGUGAGGUAACGGCUCACCAAGACGAUGAUACGUAGCCGACCUGAGAGGGUGAUCGGCCACAUUGGGACUGAGACACGGCCCAAACUCCUACGGGAGGCAGCAGUAGGGAAUCUUCCGCAAUGGACGAAAGUCUGACGGAGCAACGCCGCGUGAGUGAAGAAAAGGUUUUCGGAUCGUAAAACUCUGUUGUCAGAGAAGAACAAGUUGGAGAGUAACUGCUCCAGCCUUGACGGUAUCUGACCAGAAAGCCACGGCUAACUACGUGCCAGCAGCGGC
rnacentral:rRNA from 1 species